GCCAGAAUGGUGGAAUUGGUAGACACGAGGGACUUAAAAUCCCUUGGGCAGCAAUGCCCGUGUGAGUUCAAGUCUCAUUUCUGGUA
rnacentral:tRNA from 1 species